UUGGAUUGUGUUAGAUUUAGCCAUGCCCAAACUUCAGCUUCAGAUAAAACGUGACAUGAGGAAGUCUCUAGAAUUAAUAUUAUGGUCUGGUUGUGAGAGCCGGCAUGUUGGCACAGCUUCUGAUGAAACUAUAUAUAAAAUUCUGUGGGUUGGGAAGGGACCUUAAAAGAGAAGAGACAGGUUCUCCCUGAUUCUGCAAAAGGAUGAAGCCCGCAGAGAGAGAACAGUGCUUUAGAAUAGCAGUACUUGAUACAGUAAACUGGAUUUCACCCAGCUCCCCAAAUAGAGGAGGCAUUCCUGCAGUUCCUGGGGAACGUGUAAGGAGAGACAUUUUAGGAGAAGGUGGUCAGUUAAUAGAAACACCACGAGUGAGGGCUGGUUUCCAUAGAAGGACAUUUAAAGGAUUCGACAUCCUUGACCAAAAAGGUUUAGCCCUUUCAGAGGACAGAACGUGGAAAUCCCAUACCCUAGUAAGAGAGAAUUAGCCUCCAGGCCUGGAACCAUUAGAGUAUACAACCAUCUACCUGCGGUAUCCCCACAGCACCGAAUGCCUGUGGUGGGAGGGACAGCCCACCGCUUCAUCCCACCUGCACUUCCUCUGUCAGUCUUUGAGAUUAAAUGGGUUGACAGUUUGAUAAAGUUUUAUAUCCCUCCUUCAAUUUUCUUAGAUUGCUCCUGCCUCUGUGACCUAGUCUACCCUAGAAAGGCAUAAUGGAUCCAGGAAGGACUGCAACCUUGGCAUGGAAACACCGAAGCCUGACUUUCUUAGUCUCCCUGCAGCCU
rnacentral:lncRNA from 1 species